AUUAUAUCAGUGUAAUGUAUGCCAUAACUACUUUCAAUAUAUCAACAAAAAAGUGAAAACACCCUAUUCAACUCAGAACAAAGCAAUUAUGGAGGGCACAAGAUAUAAUCCGCCUCAUGGACGAAAGAAGAAAACGUAAUAAUAAUAUGUAACCAAGAAAGAUGUAAGCUUGGAAAACUCUUACUGAUCUACAGCGGAAAAGCCAAGCAUGAAAGAGCACAAUCGGGAAUUGACAUUCUACUGGAGGAUAUAUAUGCACCAAUCAUCGAAAAUAUAGAAUAUAUCAGCGAUUGAUUAAUAAGAACCCCAGAAUCAUACAGCGCUCGAAAACUGUACGAGAACAGAUUAAUGCAAAAAAUUAGUAAGACUGACCUCACGAACCAAAAUAUGUAAACAUGCUGGAAUGAAACAAACAACUGCAUACAUCAGGUAGCUGCAGAAUCAAUUGGCAAUAGGAAAAUCAAUAUAAGUCCAAAAAUUCUAACAAACCAUGGUUCUGUCAAGAAGUGAAUGACUUCGCAGAUGGAAAACGGAAAAGCUUUUUAACGUAAAACGAAGACCAUGACAGCCAAUGAGCAAGCUGUUAAUAGAUAAUACAUCCAUAGAGCAGGUGAUGCGAUUUAGAAAUGUCCAGCACUCACUACCCGCAAAAGGACCUGAGAAACCAAAUAAACAAACCAGCCAUUAUAUGAGAAUGUUUAAUGGAAACUGUACGGGCUAAUCGUUAAUGCGAAAUUGAUUAGAAGCGAGAGAAGAUACCAACAAGACCAAGUGAAUGCUUCGAGUCGCGCAAGUAUCAGUACCGAGAUCAAUAGCGGGGAAAACAAGAAGAAACCGCGAAAAAAACACUGAUAUUAGAUCCCAAUGUGAGGUACAGGAUGUGGUGAUAUGGGGAAGGAAAAUGAUAAGGGAAUGGCAUAACCACGAGAGGUGAUUGACUGACGAUAAACUUCCACGUCUUGUACUAGAGUGAAAACCGGUUAAGGACGCGUCCACCUGGAAGGCCACCAAAGAUAUGGAGAGAUCGGUGGCAGUCCACAUCUUAGGAAAUAGUACACAGGCAAGUCCGGAAUAAACAGAUCAUCUAAAUCUCUAAAAGUAGAAGAAUAAGAAGAAUAAUAUAAAAUACUAAACAUUUAAAUUAUCAGCGGACAUAGAAAUACAACGCAUCUUGGACAUGGUUGCAUUCUAUCGCCUCUCCUUGUCAAUAUAUGCAGCGAAGCAAUCUUUCAGAACUGAUAAACAUGAGAAGAAUAGGCAAAACUCUGGAUAUUGAAGACGAACAUAUAGACCUUGGUCAUGUCUCUAAAAUGUGAACGAAAAACCAAACAGCAGAGAUUAAGCGGAUAAUGAGACUAAUAUGGAUUGCAUUUGGAAAAUUGAGUCAUAUAGUUAAUAGCCCUGUUAGUCAAUGCAAAGGGCCAUGGAGAGGACAACGCUGGGCGUUAGCUAAUUAGAUAAAAUCCGUAACGAAGAAAUAAGGAGACGAACAUGUUGCCAGAUUGAGUGUGGGCAGAUGGGUAUUAAGGCUUGUACACUAGAUACUACGUCAAAGAAUGAGGAGUGUCGGCAGGCCACAGAGGAAAUGGUUAGAUGAUGUUAAAAGAAAUGCAGGAGGAAGAUGGUACCAUACAGCAAAAGUCAAAGCAGCAUGGAAACAAACGAACGAUUUCUUUGUUCAGCAGUGGACAGAUAGUGGCUGACAAAGAAGAUGAAGCAGAAGAGUAUAGUAUAAGGAUCCAUUACAGGAAGCAUCAUCAACAGGAGACUAAAAGAAAGAGGGUGAGUGGUCAACAUAUUAAGAACGUUAGAUCUGCCGACGAUACAACAAUAAUGCCAUGCAUUGUGGAUGACCUACAAGGUCUCAUGCAAAGAACAGACAGUUAUUGUACACAAUUUGUGUUAGAACGAAUUCAAAGAAAAUAAAAUUCAGGGUGAUCAUGAAGGGAAUGAACAUUAAUGGUACACCAAUAGAAAGAGUGGACAAAAUAAUAAAUGGAACUACUGAAAAAUUGCAGGAAUUACAUUCUAGAAUUGAAAGAAACAGAAGCUCUUAUAUGAGGAUUAAGAAAUUGUUAAGUAACAGUGUAUUAAACACAUUUUCUUCUUAUUUUUAAGUACAUAAUGUUCUCUGAAGAACUAUUUUCUUUAUUGUGUCUUGAUGCUUAGUUCAAAAUUUUUGCGGUCAUCGAUCAGUUAAUUAAUUUUAGACAUUUAUAGCUACAAAAUAGCUGUUCUUUUUACUUCAAGUUUAAUACAUUAUGCAAAGUGAUAGUGCUCUGAGUGAAAAUGUCACUUACUGUAACGUAGUGAAGUAUUUGCGUUGUAAAUGGAUUUUUAUUUAUAAUUUUCAAUGUUUUUAUUUGUAUUCUUCGGACUAACAUCAGCCAUUCAUGACAAAAUUGAAAUGUUUUAUAAAUACGUAAGAACAGCUAUUUAAGGUGUGACAUGCAACUACGUAAUCAGAAUAUAGGCGACUUCAAGGCCACAAUUGGUAAGAACCAAGAGAAGUCAGAGAACCUCGUUCGACACUGUGGUUUUGGCAAUCGAAACGCAAGAGGAAAACCACUCUUGAACUUCAUGGGCGAACAUAACUUAAGUAUGAUGAAUUCAUUCUUAAAAAAACCCAUAUCUCGAAAAUGGAGCUGGAUCAGUCUUAAUAAACCAAUAAAGAAAAUUUAUUAUAUUCUUUGCUCCAAAGCGUAAAUAAUACGGGAUGUUACGGUGCUGAACUCAUUAGACGUAGGAAGCGCCCACCGAUUGAUUCGAGCAAAAGUGGUUAUCGACAAGAAGCAACAAAAAAAAACAUUCAUCAACAUAAAAACACUCGAAUAUCGUGCAACCAAUUUCAAGAAAAUGGACAUAAAUUUUAAAGAGCGGUAGAGAGAAGACGGGUUCCCCCAAGUGAAUCAUUUACUCGAUAUUAACAGUUUGAACAGCAAAAUACAAAGAACCCUAAAUGACAGCAUUCAGGAAGUAAAUAAGAACAGACCAAUUCCAAAGGAAAAAAUUGUUAAUGAUGAUGAGCAUGAUUAUCAGGAGACUGCUGAAAAAACGAAGACAACUGAAUGAGGAAAAGAAAAAGGGCACAAUAGAGUAUGUGGAACUAAAGAAACUAAUUAAAAAACAACAAAGGGAUAAUGAAACAGAGGAGUACCGACUCAUAAACUGAACCAUAGAUAAAAACAAUGGCAUGAAAUGCCUAAGACCAAAGCUGGGGAAAACAUUUUUUUCCUUAACUGACAAUAAAGAUGUUGAAAAAAAAACGAAUUGGAGUGGAGUCUUGAAAAUCGUUGAGGAAUAUUAUUCACACCCAUACGCAUCCAAACUACAGGAUCAAAGCGAUGAUCAACCGAAGAAGGGUAAGGAACGUCUGAUCUGAAGAGUGUCCGCGAGUAACUGAGGCAGAAGUGGUUAAAGUUCUGAAGAACAUUGAGGACAAAUAGGCGCCAGGAGAGGAUGCUAUUACAACCCACAUGAUGAUCGAAGGAGGCGGCAGUCUAAUCAAACUGAUCCAACAAAGUAAAAUCCGGACUACCUUGAUGAAGGCUGAAGUUAUACUUCUUCAUAAAAAAGUAGAUAGGACUGAACUGAAAAUCUACCAUCUCAUAACUCUACUAUCGCACCUGAUUAAUUUUCUAACAUGUAUAAUUACUACACGUUCAACGCAAAAAUUGGACAAGUUUCAGUCAACGGAACAGGCAGGUUUUGGAAAGUGUUAUUCAACAAAUUCUGCGGAUCCCUUGCUUAUCAUGUCACUCUUCCUUGGGAAGUGCAUUGAAUACCACUUCCUUCUGAAUCUGGCCUUUAUAGACCAGUUCGACGCGGUUGAACAUUUGGCAGUUCAGAGAGUACUGCAAAACUUCAGAAUCGAUAGAAGAUACUCACAUCUAAUACAAGAGACUACCAGGGAAGCAACAGCAACAUACUCAAAUACGCAAGCCAAUCAGGUCCACUGAAGGGAGGAGUUAGACUGGAUAAUUCUCUAUCAUCCAAACUGUUCCCAUUGGCUAUCGAGGACGUGAUGAGAAAACUGGAUUGGUCGGAAUGCGGCACUAAUGUGAAUAGCCAAUACUUGAGCCACCUACGUUAUGCAGAUGACAUAAUCAUAAUGGCAGAAGAUCCGACAGAACUGGAGAACAUAAGUGAACAUGUUGAAUUAAAUUCCUCCAUGGCAUAAUGCAUCUAUCGGGGUCAAAAAAUUGUGUUUGGGAGAGAAAAUCAAACAGGGGAGACACAAAGAAGGAUCUAGUCCGGGACGGAAUUUGGCAAAACUGAUUUAUAUACUCAAAGUAAUAAAAAUAACCUUAAAGAACAAAA